UACGCCAAGCUAACGGCAUGUUUAUGCAAUUGUGAAAGAUUUGCAUUAGUUGUACCAAAUCCUUCUCCUAUAAUGAUCCAAAUAUACACACAUUGAAGUAAUAGAUAAUGCGUUCGAUCUGUGUGGGGACUUAAAAACACGAGCGGAGUCACUGUCAAAAACUUUGACCCAGUUGUGCCAAACAACCACUCUGAAAAUUGUUAGUCUAAUUGCAAAAAGCAAAGAAAUUUAAAUCAAGUUCGCGUUCAUUGCAUGGAUGCAUCUCAUCGCAUCAAUAAUGCAUUUCAUCGUGUCCAAUAUCCUGAAAUGUUUUAAUGAUAUCAAAAAUUACAGUUUUGUGAUAAAAUAUAUAUUUUGUAAAGCUGUUAUUUUCUAUGAAAAGACAUCCCUGGACGUGGUUUAAAAACAUGGCUACAUCUAAUCAGUUCAGUUUGCCAUGGCAAACGAGACAACUCAUCCUGAUCUAUUUAAUCGGCAAUACAGUCAGUUGAGUUGAAUACAUAAAACAUAGUAUAACCAAUACAAAGAUUUAGUAAUAAUACUGAAUAAUAACAGUUUUCAAGGCAUUAUUUUUUAUUCCAUCGCGUUUCCAUAGUUCCACGGCUAUGUGUGAAUGCUAUUCGGCAUCCAUUUUGGAAGCAAGUAGGGAUAACUCAACUUUCCGUUUGCCAACCUUUUCUGAUUUCUAGCAGUAAUUUGGUCAUUAAUGCCUCCUGUAAGUCGAUCGUGAUACUUGUUCACAACGGCUUUGGCACGGUCAUCUUUUAGGUAUUUGCCAUAGUCGAAGAUGACGUCAUAUCGUAUUGAUCCCAAGGACAUGGACAGUGAAACUUGUUCC